rnacentral:rRNA from 1 species
GUCGAGGGGUAACAGAAGAGAGCUUGCUUUCUUGCUGACGACCGGCGCACGGGUGCGUAACAGGUAUGCAAUCUACCUCUUACUGGGGGAUAGCCCGGAGAAAUUCGGAUUAAUACCCCAUAAUAUGUUUGAUUCGCAUGUUUUAAACAUUAAAGAUUUAUCGGUAAGAGAUGAGCAUGCUUCCCAUUAGCUAGUUGGUGUGGUAACGGCAUACCAAGGCUACGAUGGGUAGGGGGCCUGAGAGGGUAGUCCCCCACACUGGUACUGAGACACGGACCAGACUCCUACGGGAGGCAGCAGUGAGGAAUAUUGGUCAAUGGAGGCAACUCUGAACCAGCCAUGCCGCGUGCAGGAAGAAUGCCUUAUGGGUUGUAAACUGCUUUUAUUUGGGAAGAAACCUUCUUACGUGUAAGAAGCUGACAGUACCAAACGAAUAAGGACCGGCUAACUCCGUGCCAGCAGCCGCGGUAAUACGGAGGGUCCAAGCGUUAUCCGGAAUCAUUGGGUUUAAAGGGUCCGUAGGCGGGACAAUAAGUCAGAGGUGAAAGCCCACAGCUUAACUGUGGAACUGCCUUUGAUACUGUUGUUCUUGAAUUCGGUCGAAGUGGGCGGAAUAAGUAGUGUAGCGGUGAAAUGCAUAGAUAUUACUUAGAACACCGAUAGUGAAGACAGCUCACUAGGCCUGGAUUGACGCUGAGGGACGAAAGCGUGGGGAGCGAACAGGAUUAGAUACCCUGGUAGUCCACGCCGUAAACGAUGGUCACUCGAUAUUGGCGAUAUACUGUCAGUGUCCAAGCGAAAGUGAUAAGUGACCCACCUGGGGAGUACGAUCGCA